AAACUCAAAUGAAUUGACGGGGGCCCGCACAAGCGGUGGAGCAUGUGGUUUAAUUCGACGCAACGCGAAGAACCUUACCAGGCCUUGUAUCCCGGUCGCGGCCCUUUGAAAGAGGGGCCUUCAGUUCGGCUGGACCGGUGACAGGUGCUGCAUGGCUGUCGUCAGCUCGUGUCGUGAGAUGUUGGGUUAAGUCCCGCAACGAGCGCAACCCUCGCCCUUAGUUGCCAUCAUUUAGUUGGGCACUCUAAGGGGACUGCCGGUGAUAAGCCGCGAGGAAGGUGGGGAUGACGUCAAGUCCUCAUGGCCCUUACGGCCUGGGCCACACACGUGCUACAAUGGCGGUGACAAUGGGCAGCAAACCCGCAAGGGGGCGCUAAUCUCAAAAAGCCGUCUCAGUUCGGAUUGGAGUCUGCAACUCGACUCCAUGAAGUUGGAAUCGCUAGUAAUCGUGGAUCAGCACGCCACGGUGAAUACGUUCCCGGGCCUUGUACACACCGCCCGUCACACCAUGGGAGUUGGGUUUACCCGAAGGUGGUGCGCUAACCUAGCAAUAGGAGGCAGCCAACCACGGUAGGCUCAGCGACUGGGGUGAAGUCGUAACAAGGUAGCCGUAGGGGAACCUGCGGCUGGAUCACCUCCUUUAUG
rnacentral:rRNA from 1 species